CAUACUGAUUGGAGUCAUGUCUUUUAUUUCAUUUUAUUUUUGGUAUCUCAUAUUGGUGUUCCAGAGUAGCUUGGAUUUGACUUUUCUUCCUUGCCUGCAGCUGUGAUCGAGAUGGUACAAGAGGCUGGUAGAGUGACUGUCCGAGAUGGAAUGCCUGAGCUCUUGAAGCUGCCCCUUCGUUGUCAUGAGUGCCAACAGCUGCUGCCUUCCAUUCCUCAGCUGAAAGAACAUCUCAGGAAGCACUGGACACAGUGAUUCUGCAGAGCCUGAGCUGCUGCUGCGGUGUGGCCCACUGGAGCAAACUGCUGGCAUCUAUUCUGGAGUUAAAGGAAGGCUGGAACCCUCACCUGCUGCUUCUCCUCCUGCUUGUCAUAGUCUUCAUUCCUGCCUUCUGGAGCCUGAAGACCCACCCAACGUGGAGGUGAGGCCAGGGGAUCAGGAAGGCAGGAAGGUGGUCGGCAUGGGCCACUGCCCAUCUAUUACCCACCCAGGGUUGGAGAACAUGCCUGGCAGCAUGGUAACAAUGACGACGGUGGAAUAAUAACCAACUCACAGCCACCGUGUGCUGGACACUGUGGAGGGCACUCCCUUCACCCCCAUGGCAGCCCUAUGAGCAUGAGACGCUGCAGUUGCCCUUAUUUUUCAUGAAUGACCUAGGGCAAGUCAUUUGCUGUUACCGAGCCUCAGUUUUCUCUUUUAUAAAGGAAUAAGUCUCUUGGCUUGCUCUGUGAAUGAAAAGACAGGGUGGAACAAGCCCUUAUUAGAUGUCAGUUGUCUUUGUUUUUUUUUAUUUUUUUUUUCUUUUUUUUUUGGUUCAUUUGUUUUUGUGGUUUUUAGACAGUCUCACAUUGUUACCCAGGCUGCAGUACAAUAGCACAAUGUUGACUCAUUGAAAACUCUGCUUCCCGGGUUCAAGCAAUUCUCCUGAGUAGCUGGGAUUACAGGCACCUGCCACCACACUCGGCUAAUUUUUGUAUUUUUAGUAGAGACGGGGUUUCACCAUAUUGAUAAGGCUGGUCUCGAUCUCCUGACCUGAAGUGAUCCACCCUCCUCAGCCUCCCAAGGUGCUGGGAUUGCAGGCGUGAGCCACCACGCCCAGCCAGAGGGGGGUUG
rnacentral:lncRNA from 1 species